CAAACCGAUCGUUUCGUUUCUUAGGAUAUCAAUGUGUCGUCACGAGCGGCAGGGUUUAAUUUGGAUUUGUCUGUGCAUGUUUUUACUGUCUGAGAUUUUGUUACUAUUCACAUGCAUACAGACUGAAACGGUUGGAGUUUCUACAUUUGUGUUGUACUGAAGAAACAAAAUCACAUACAUCUUGGAUGGCCUCGGGGUAAGCUGAUAAAUAUAAAAAAUUCAUUUUAAGAUGAAUCCCGUACGUUGGCGGCUGUUUUAAACUGGGUGCUCGGCUCAGACCCUUUUGCCAGUAUGAAGCCGUUUUCAACGGUAACUGCAGAAAGCAUCCAUCAGCACGCUCAGCUCAUCACUGGAGUAACGUCUGUAAAACGGGUGAGAUAAAACUCAACGCCUGACUGAAUCAUCCAUUCCCUUUUCGAUCCUACGCCAUACGUUAAACUUGAGCACACCCCACCCUUACAUGGCACACAAGUAUAUGACACACAACACAGGUCUUCUCAGGAGGCUGUGCCUACAGCAAUAGGCUUUAUGCCCAGCUGCACUACUUCCUGAACUUCAGCCAGUUCCUUGUUUCCUGUCUGCCAUUAUUGGACAAACUGAUUAAUCCAGGUGUGCCUGAGCUUAGUAGUCAC